rnacentral:rRNA from 1 species
GACGAACGCUGGCGGCGUGCUUAACACAUGCAAGUCGAACGGAAAGGCCCUGCUUUUGUGGGGUGCUCGAGUGGCGAACGGGUGAGUAACACGUGAGUAACCUGCCCUUGACUUUGGGAUAACUUCAGGAAACUGGGGCUAAUACCGGAUAGGAGCUCCUGCUGCAUGGUGGUGGUUGGAAAGUUUCGGCGGUUGGGGAUGGACUCGCGGCUUAUCAGCUUGUUGGUGGGGUAGUGGCUUACCAGGGCUUUGACGGGUAGCCGGCCUGAGAGGGGGACCGGCCACAUUGGGACUGAGAUACGGCCCAGACUCCUACGGGAGGCAGCAGUGGGGAACAUUGCACAAUGGGCGGAAGCCUGAUGCAGCAACGCCGCGUGCGGGAUGACGGCCUUCGGGUUGUAAACCGCUUUCGCCUGUGACGAAGCGUGAGUGACGGUAAUGGGUAAAGAAGCACCGGCUAACUACGUG